rnacentral:rRNA from 1 species
CACUGCUCUGACGGAUGCUUUUAUUAGACCAAGCCGCUGAGGACUUGAGGGUUCGCUCUCCUGUUCGACUCGUGUAAUGGUGACUCUGGAUAACCAAAUUUCUGACAAGCGCACGUACUUCUCUUCUGAGCGAGACGGCGCUGCCACUUUCGAGUGUCUGCCUUAUCAGCUAUCAACCGUUCGUUAUGCGCGACCGAUGGCUUUGACGGGUAACGGGGAAUCAGGGUUCGAUUCCGGAGAGGCAGCCUGAGAGACGGCUACCACGUCCAAGGACGGCAGCAGGCACGCAAAUUACCCAAUCCCAGCAAAUGGGGGAGGUAGUGACGAAAUCUAACGAUGCGGGCGCCCUUUCUGGGGCCCCGCAAUCGGAAUGGGCACUUUCUAAACAACCUGUUGAGAACCUACUGAAGGGCAAGUCUGGUGCCAGCAGCCGCGGUAAUUCCAGCUUCAGCAGCAUCUAUUAAAGUUGCUGCGGUUAAAAGGCUCGCAGUUGAAUGUCUGUAUCGAGCGCAGGUCAGGUGGACGUUGGGGCGUGGAAGUACGGGUCGUUGGAUGUCCGGAGGGCCUUCGUGCUCAACGGCUCCUUCGGCUUUUCCACACACCCCCGUCCGUGACAAGCCUCCUCGCUCGGGUACAUAACGGGAAUCGGUCAAACGGAGUGUGGUCGGCAGUUGCGGUGCGUGGCCUCGGUUGCGUGUUGCUUCUGUCGGCUGCGUUAAGCUCCAUCGGUUUCACGGUCACCUUGAGUAAAUCAGAGUGCUCAAAGCAGUCGUAGGGGCCUUGCGCCCUGUGAACAGUCUUGACGGACUGACUUGGUUUUGCAUGGCAUGUCGGAAGACGACGUCGUGUGCUGGCUCAGAGGAUAAAUCAGUGGUACAAGCCAGCCUCGACGUAAUGAUUAAAAGGGACGGUCGAGGGCAUUGGUAUUGCGAGGCGAGAGGUGAAAUUCUGUGACCCCCGCAAGACCUCCUGAAGCGAAAGCGUCUGCCAAGGACGUUUUCAUUAAUCAUGAACGAAAGUUAGAGGAUCGAAGGCGAUCAGAUACCGCCCUAGUUCUAACCCUAAACGAUGCCAACCAUCAAUCCGCGCGUAGCACCCUUCUUAACGGGCUCGGCGGGCAGCUCCCCACUCACGGGAAACCAGAGCCUCUGGGUUCCGGGGGGAGUCUGGUUGCAAAGCUGAAACUUAAAGGAAUUGACGGAAAGGCACCACCAGGCGUGGAGCCUGCGGCUUAAUUUGACUCAACACGGGCCAUCUCACCAGGCCAGCACUCUUGUACGAUUGACAGAUUG